rnacentral:rRNA from 1 species
CCUACGGGUGGCAGCAGUGGGGAAUUUUGCACAAUGGGCGGAAGCCUGAUGCAGCGACGCCGCGUGAGGGAUGACGGCCUUCGGGUUGUAAACCUCUUUCAGUAUCGACGAAGCCUCUUUUGGGGUGACGGUAGGUACAGAAGAAGCACCGGCCAACUACGUGCCAGCAGCCGCGGUAAUACGUAGGGUGCGAGCGUUGUCCGGAAUUAUUGGGCGUAAAGGGCUCGUAGGCGGUUUGUUGCGUCGGAAGUGAAAGCCCGGGGCUUAAUGUCGGGUUGGCUUUCGAUACGGGCAGGCUAGAGGUAGGCAGGGGAGAAUGGAAUUCCAGGUGUAACGGUGGAAUGUGCAGAUAUCUGGAGGAACACCGGUGGCGAAGGCGGUUCUCUGGGCCUUACCUGACGCUGAGGAGCGAAAGCGUGGGUAGCGAACAGGAUUAGAUA